UAAAUUUAACUUUAUUAAUAAAGUUUCUCGAAUUUUAGAGAGCUAAAAAUUUAUAUAUUUUAAUGUAAAAUAAUUAUUUAUAAUAUUUUUUUUGUAAUUAUAUGUUAGUCGUUCUAAAUUAUAUCUAGUUUUUUCAGAAAUGAAUUUAAUUCAAUCAAUAGAAGGAUAUUUUUUUUAUAAAAUCUUUUUUUUUUAUUGGGUAAUAACUAAGGGGAUAAGCUUUUAGUUAUAUUUUUAUAAUGAAUUAGUUAUUUUAAUUUGUAGGAUUAGAAGUGUUCAUUAAUUUUAGUGUGUUAUAACAAUUUAAUUAUUAAUUUGAUUUUCUAUAAUUUAAAUUUUUUAUGAGAGUAGGAGAUCAAACUUUUUUAUUUCCAAAUUUAUGAUAAAAUUAGUAUAAUUUUAUGUGUUAAUAUAUUUGAAAAUUAAGGUUAAAUAAAGGAACUCGGCAAAUUACUCCUUGCCUGUUUAAUAAAAACAUGUCUUUUUGUGAUAAUUUAAAGUCUGGCCUGCCCAAUGAGUAUUUAAAUGGCCGCGGUAUUUUGACCGUGCAAAGGUAGCAUAAUCAUUAGUUUUUUAAUUGAAAGCUGGAAUGAAUGGUCGGACAAGGGAGUUACUGUCUCUGUUUAAUUUUAUUAGAAUUUUAUAUUUAAGUUAAAAAGCUUAAAUGAAUUUAAGGGACGAGAAGACCCUAUAGAAUUUAAUAAUUAGCAUUGAUAUAAAUUUGUGGGGUUUUUUAUUUAUAUUUUAAUUAAUUAUUUUGUUGGGGUGACAGGAAAAUUUAUUAAACUUUUCUUUUUUAAAAUCAUUAAUUUAUGUUUAAUUGAUCCAAGUUUUUUGAUUAUAAGAUACAAUUACCUUAGGGAUAACAGCGUAAUUAGUUUGGAGAGUUCUUAUCGAUAAAUUAGUUUGCGACCUCGAUGUUGGAUUAAAAUUUACUUUUGGUGUAGAAGCUAAUAGGUUAAGUCUGUUCGACUUUUAAAAUUUU
rnacentral:rRNA from 1 species